UCACACGCAAACGCCACAAGCCGCCGUAGAAACUUCGAUAUCUCUUGAUGAACACGUGUGUUUCGUGCAACGAGUCAUAUGCCCAGCACUUCACGGUCAUCCCAAUUAUUGUUAUUUGCCAUUGAUCGUUAUGAUACGAAGGCUAAGGUCUUAGAAAAUUCAUCGUUUACAUAUCGUUCGCGAAUAUCGAGUUUCUAUGACUUGACGCUCGUACGGGAUGAUGAAGGAUGAUGAAUGAUCGUGGAGCGCCUGUACAAGUCCAGCGCGCGCGAUUCUCUUUCGGCGAAUCGUCUCGAAUAUAUGGAUCUGUCCACCAUUAAUAUCUGGAUAUUUUUCAAAGAAAAGAUAGACUUUUCAUUUCUACAAUUUACUCCGAUAAACGAGACCUUACUAGAGAAGAGAAAGGCAACGUGUGAAACAUGAACGACGAAACAGAGGUGCGAAACAGAGCUGCGUAAAGACGAAUAUAGACGACGCGGCGAACCUUAAUCCAGCACUGCUGCCUGCAUUCUCGAACCACGGUAAA